ensembl:lncRNA
CAUCUGUGACCUACACCAAAGCUACACCAUAGCUCACGGCAAUGCCAGAGUGUUAGCCCACUGAGCAAGUCCAGGGAUCAAACUUGCACCCUCAAUGACACUAAUUGGGUUCAUCACUGCUGAGCCACAAUGGGAACUCCUGUGUUAAGUUUUGACUUGGUCUUAAGAAUCCCUGGAAAAUUACAACUGGUUUCAACUGGGGAAUGGCACGAAUUGGGGAAUUGGCAUUUACAGCAGAUUGUGGGGAUUAAAAAUGGAUCUGAAUGGUUAGGGAUUUUCAGUGGUCCAGGGGAGUGAUGGUGAUGGCAUGGACCUGGGAUAGUAAGCAGUCCCACUGGAGAGAUGAAGAGAAUUGAAACCGAAUUCUUUUAUUCAUUCUUGACCAGGUGCUUGAUUAAACAGGGAGAGAGAUGUCACAGAUGGCCCCCAUGUUUCUGACUUGGGUGACAGUGCUACCAUUCACCCCCAUAGAAACCCUGGAGGAUACAGCAUUGAGAAGACGAUGGAUUCAGUUUCUGAAAUGUUGAGUUCAGUGUUCUUAGAUGCCUUAGAUAACUUCAGCUAUUCAGUCAGAAGUUGGCUCUGUGGCUCCGGCUGUCUGAAAAUAGGUCUGAUGUAGAAAUAAAGAUUUGGGAGGCAUUUCACAAAGCUGCUGAACAAAACCCACAUUCUUUUUUCUUUCUUCAUGGGCUCAAAAGGGACUAUAUUUUCCUAUACCCUUUGCAGUCAGAUACUGCCAUACAUGUCUGAAUCUGAUCAGUGGAUUACCAGAAGAAAAAUACCUCACUUAUGGACUGACCUGUAAAAACCUCCCAUGUGCUCUGCUCCCAGGCUCUUUUUCUUUUCAGCAAAUGCUGAAGAUGGCAGGAUCUCUGUCAGCCUGAGUUACUGGACAACGACCUUUUCACCUACCCAGUCCUGUUACAGGAGCAACAUCUAACCUGCACCAUGACUGAGAAAUAGUAUAUUUAGGGGGUGAAUCUGUUAUAGUAACAAGGUUGGCAUAACUAAUUCAGGAGCCUUCUGAUGGCUAAAGAAUAAACAAUCUGAAGCCUCUGAUGAGCUUGUCCAGGGAGAGAGCUGUCUUAGUUUCUGACUGCUACUGUUAACACAUUAUCACAAACUCAGUGGCUUGAAACAACACGAAUGUGUUGGAGUUUUGGAGGUCAGCAGUUUGAAGUGGGUCUUAGAGUGUCAAGGUGUCGGCAAAGCCACAUUCAUUUCAAAGGCUCCAGGGGGGGAGAAGAGUGUCCUUACCUUUUCCAUCUUCUGCAGGAUCAACCUCUGCAUCUAUCACAACUCCUUCGCUGUCUCUCCAGCCUUCCUCUUUCCCUUAUAAGGACUCUAACAAUGACACUGGCUCACCUAGAUAAUCCAAAGUAAUUUUUCCAUCUCAGCGUCCUUACCUUCAUCUUAUCUGUACAGUCCCUUUUGCCAGAUAAGGUAACAUGGUCACAGGUUCUGGCAACCAGGAUGUGAUACCUCUGUGGAGGGGGCUUUUAUUCAGCCCACUGCAAGGUGUGAAAUGACUCAGGAAAAGCAUCCAAGACAACACUUUGAGCAGCACUGACUUAAAAAGUGUGGGCUGAGGAAGAGGAGAGAGCAAGUCAUCCAUGAAUGAACAGAUUCAGACAUAGGAGAAACUAGGCAGUCCUCUGGCAUGGAAGAUAGGAAAGAAAGCAUUUUAAGAAGGAGGGAGCAAUCAGCUGUAUUUUAGCCAGUGAGCAACAUCUGGAAGAUAAAGAUUUGCACAUAUUUUUGAACUUAGCUACACGGAAAUCAUUAGUGGCCUGUUAAGGAUCUGCCUGAGAAAAGCAGUAAGAAUGGAGGACUAAGUGGGGUCCUGGCUGGGAGGGGGCACUGUGUAUUCAUCAGUAGAAACAAUCCUUUCAAAAUGAUGGGCUCUAAAGAGAAAAGAAAACUAAGGAGAGAAUGGUGGGCAGGAAUGAGAAACAAGGGAGGGUUCCCUCCACCAGUGGCAGUACGUAUGCAUAUUUAAAUUGCCAGUGGAGGGAGGGAUAUUAUACAUAAAGGGUAGGAUGGACUAAAUCAAAGUUAAGCCUCUAAGAAAAAGGAAGAGACUCUCUUCCAUUUUUAAUGGGGGAGAAAAGAAAAGUUAGUGUUGUAUAUAAGUAAAUGGAAGGAACUACUGUUUAAUUACAUAUGUGUUUUCUCUGUGAAACAGAAGACCAGACCAGAGGCUGAUGGCAAAGGGGAGCUGGGGAGGGAGAAAACAUAGAUAUUGUCUGAAACACCACGUGGAAUAGGAGCAUGUUGACCAAGAAAAAUAUAAUAAUUUUGUCAGAUAUAACAAUUUGCUAGUGCCCCAUCAAGACCAGACACCCAAAGCAGUAGUGGACCAAUCCUGACCGCUGUAUACCUUCUCUUGGAAUGUCAAUGAGUUGACUGCAAAAGCAGAGAUGACAGCAAUCAGAUUUAACAGGGUUUGUGAGGUUUUCUUCAGUCCGGUGUGGGUGUGGUGGGAAACAGCAGACGAAGAGGUUUCAGAAUACUUGUAAACAAAAGGAUGGAGUGUUGACACGAGUUAAGGAGAGAAGAGGGACCUAAUGAGGGAAGGGACAAGGGACCCUGAAGAAAGGUAGGAAAAAGCAAAGAACGGGGGUGUUGACUCUCCACAAUGUAUGAGAGAGGGAGAGACAGGGACAUGUGGUUAAGGUCCAGCAUGCUUUAUAAGAGUGGUGGCACAAUCCGGAAGUGAGAAAGUCUAGGGUGUGGCCCCGAAGUGGAGCCAGAGUGGUGGGGGGUGUCCUGGAAGGUGAGUGAGGCAGAUGUGGAAUCACGAAUGAGGCCAGGUGGUCAUGCUGAGUCACCCAGAAUGACAUCAGGCCUGAGGGUGGAGAAGAUGACCCUUGGCCUAGUGUUGAGGCCUUCUCCAAGAGAUUUACUGACCAUAUUGGCAAUAAACAGGCAAGGAGAAAAAAACCUCAAGAGCUUCCCACAGAGGCAAAGCCCCUUUAAGCAAUUAUCUGAAUAAUUCAAUGAAACAUCCUUCUUAUGGCUUUUUAGGAAAAGGAGACUUCGCUUGUAAUAGCCUAAAUGAAUUCACUUGACAAUUUACAAUAUCCCCAUCACUUUUCCUGUUGGAAAACUUAGCAACUCUCAGACCCCCUCUGGGCCCAUCUGGCCCUCAGGCCCAAGGAUGGAUUAAGACUGGACCUUCUCCUGAUGAAACUGCACAAGAGGAUUCUGGCAACUUUCUUCUUCUGCUACAUCAGUCAAGUCACAAAGAAAGGGCUGUGGUGGACAGUCUGGAUGGGAGACAUGCAGUGACCACUGAGACCACUGAGGGGAUUCCUGCUCCAAUCUGUGUGUUGCCCUCCCAGCUGCAAAGGAAAGGCUUGCUCACAUCCAUUCCCCAGCCUAUGAUUUAGCCCUGUCAUAAAAGAAUAUUUUUAAAAUCAGCUAGAAGACCUUGCACUGUUUGGUGUACUCUGUAAUGCAAGAUAAACUGGCCCCUUCCUUACCCUCCAGGAGUGAACAAUUGUGUGCCUAUUUUUAGUUGCCUAAAAUCACAGAUUAAACAUUUAGUUUAACCUUCUACUUUAUACGAGUGACGUGCCAGUAAAUUAGUGCUUCUAAGUGAUGAUAAAGGGGGAUUCUUUAGAAAGGGCCCAUCAAAAUAUCACCAUCUGUCUUCUUCCAAUUCAGAGAAAUGUAGCAUCUACUUACUGACCACUUGCCAUGCUCCCUGGAUUGAAGCAAACACAAAAAGAAGAUCUACACACAUGCUUGCUGAGCACAUGUGUAGGCUUGUGGGGGACGUCCAUGACAUUUAUAAAGCAUAAGACUUCAUCCACUACCCAAAUCAUACACAUACAUUUAUUAUAGGACUGGAUGAGCUCUGCGACUUGGAGAUGAGUGAAAUGGUUCUUGUUCUGGUGCUGUUCACGGUUGGGGGGGUGGGCAGUGGGGGAGCAGCAGGCACACAGGGAAGCCAUAGAACUCUUCUGUAAGUUAUACUGGAGACGUGGGGGACAGAGAAGAGGAGUCACUCACAAGAGAAGUGGGGAACCCUCCCCCAGGGGAGAUGAUAUUGGAACCAGGUCUGGAAGGCAUGGCAGAAAUUUGCUGAGGAAGUAGACGGUGGGAGGCAGUGGCGGGGGAAGAAAGCGCAAGACUCCAGCUCUGCACAUCUGAGCCCCUCUCGGUUCUGAAUAACACCACUCUAAAUGGGUCCCCUGCUCAAUAAUCCAGAGUUUAUGAAAUACUUUUGGAACUGGAAGGAAGAAACUUCAGGGAUUCCAUGAUUCAGAAAUGCAGUGGUGAACACUGAAAUCCAGAACUUAAAAAGUCCUUAUCAGAGUGCUGACAGCUCGGCAGGGGACACACUGUGACUAGACAAAUCUGUAAAUGUCUGUGGAGAAAAUGAUCACACAGGCUAACCAGUGCUGGGAUAAAAUCUGUAGAAGAAGAGAAUAAAAGGAGGCAAUAAAGGGAAAAGUUCAACACUAAACAGCUGAAUGUUCUAAUGGUUAUGACAAUGCUUAUGGUCAUUGCUCUUAGAAUUCUGCUCACUGCUUUUUGAUGCCAUAGUAAUGAAACUAGACAUAACUUGGUUAAAAGAGGCUUUAUUGUCCUGUUUCCUUGCACAAAGAUUCUGUGCUUGCUUAUGACAUUUUUGAAAUCACAACUGAGUCAUUUACCUUGGGUGGAGACCCCUGGCCUAUAGUGAGCAAUUGUUUAUUGGGAGGGAGGGGCAAGGCAGACUCAUAGUGAAACUUCAGCUGCCUCAGACGAUGACAACCGGGUUUUACUUUCUUAGUUUAUCAAAUUGAAAACCAGAUGUACCAGAAUAUAAUAAAAAUGUGCCUAGUUACAUAAAUAUUGCAAAAUGGGGAGAUCCAAGGCUAGUCUACUGUAAGCCAGCAAUAAUCAAAAUGAUGGGGCCUCACAGGUUUUGUGGAUAAAUAUGAGUAUUUCAAAGAAGUCAGAGUGGCACCUGGUUUCUGGUCUGACACAUAAGGAGCUUAGAAAUCACUGUUCCACCCUAACAAGUAAGAAGCUUUGUGAACUGAAAAAAUCAACAACUCUUCUUAGAUAUGUCAGACAACUCAGAUCACAGGGAAAAACACUGCCCCCGAGACUGGAGAGAGAGACAGAUGAAUACAGAAAUACUAGAACAUAAAUCCACAGCAGAAACCUCCAUGGUGCCAGUACCCGGGUGGGAAAACCUGAACUGUAAUUGACAAAUUGUUGGAGUCUCCAUGUGGACAAAUCUGAGAAUUAAAAACUCCAAAGGAUCCAAGUCAGAGUGUUGCCCCACACUUUUGUGCAAAUACCAAGCAGGUUAAGUGCCCAAAACCAAACCAGACAAAACCCCAAAUCCUACACCUAGGUGUAUAUCAUUUCAAAUUACAGAAAAUCAAAGAUAAGUCUAUGUCCAAGAGCUCUACCAGUCUGCACACUGAAUAUUGGAGAAAAAUCACCUCAUGUUUCUGAUAGGGGAAGGAAAACAGGAACUAUUUUGAAAUAAGUCAGAGCAUUCUGUUCUUCUUAGUAAGAUCUGCCUUCAGGAGAAACUAUUUUCCCCAGAGCUGCACCCGAUGGGGUUUUUCUCAGAGCCUAAGAUAUUCAAGGGAAGGGAAAUAGCUGAGUCCAUCUCCCUCCACCCAUCCUUCCCCAUCUAAAGAAGGUUAUGAUGAGUUCCUGUUGUGGUGCAGCAGAAACAAAUCUGACUAGGAACCAUGAGGUUGCAGGUUUGAUCCCUGGCCUCGCUCAGUGGAUUAAGGAUCUGGCAUUGCCGUGAGCUGUGGUAUAGGUUGCAGAUACGGCUUGAAUCUAGCAUUGCUGUGGCUCUGUCAUAGGCUGGUAACAACAGCUCUUAUUUGACCCCUAGUCUGGGAACCUCCAUAUGCUGUGGGUGCAGUCCAAUAAAGACAAACAAAAUAAAUAAAUGAAUAAAAUAAAGGAGGAUGAUGAGACUGAGAAGCACUGGUGAAGUUCACAGUCUGGGAUACAGGCACAUCAAAAGACUAAGACCCAAUCACAGGGCUAUAGAACAUUUCCUCUGCCCCAUACACUACAUCAUAAAACCCCAUGGACUGCAGUUCCUUUUACAUCAUAAAACCCCAUGGACUGCAGUUCCUUUUACCUUUUAUGUCAUGUUUACCUUUCAACCACAAAAAAUUAUGAGGUAUACUAAGAGGCAAGGAACACAAGGCGAAGAGACUAAACAAGCAUUAUAACCAGAGUCAGAGGAAGAAAUGUUGACAUUAUCAUAGUAGAAAUCUUUUUAAAACGUUAUUAUUAAUAGUCUAAGGGAUUUAACAGAUAAAGUAGAUAAUUUGCAACAGAUGGAUAAUGUAAUCAGGGAGCUGGAAAUUCUAAGAAAGAAUUUCGAAGUAAUGCUAGAAAUAAAAAAUAUUGUAACUUAAAUGAAGAAUGCUUUUGAUGGGUUUAUUAGGACAUGACAUGACUGAGGAAAGUAUCUUUGAGUUUGAUGAUAUGACAGUAGAAACAUCCAAAAAAUUAACAACAAAGGCUGGAAAAAAAAAAAAA